GGAUCCAGACUUUGAUCAUGGCUCAGGACGAACGCUGGCGGCGCGCCUAACACAUGCAAGUCGAACGGAGUCAAGAGGAGCUUGCUUUUCUUGACUUAGUGGCGAACGGGUGAGUAACGCGUGAGUAACCUGCCCUGGAGUGGGGGACAACAGUUGGAAACGACUGCUAAUACCGCAUAAGCCCACGGCCCGGCAUCGGGCUGAGGGAAAAGGAUUUAUUCGCUUCAGGAUGGACUCGCGUCCAAUUAGCUAGUUGGUGAGGUAACGGCCCACCAAGGCGACGAUUGGUAGCCGGACUGAGAGGUUGAACGGCCACAUUGGGACUGAGACACGGCCCAGACUCCUACGGGAGGCAGCAGUGGGGGAUAUUGCACAAUGGGGGAAACCCUGAUGCAGCGACGCCGCGUGGAGGAAGAAGGUUUUCGGAUUGUAAACUCCUGUCGUUAGGGACGAUAAUGACGGUACCUAACAAGAAAGCACCGGCUAACUACGUGCCAGCAGCCGCGGUAAAACGUAGGGUGCAAGCGUUGUCCGGAAUUACUGGGUGUAAAGGGAGCGCAGGCGGACCGGCAAGUUGGAAGUGAAAACUAUGGGCUCAACCCAUAAAUUGCUUUCAAAACUGCUGGCCUUGAGUAGUGCAGAGGUAGGUGGAAUUCCCGGUGUAGCGGUGGAAUGCGUAGAUAUCGGGAGGAACACCAGUGGCGAAGGCGACCUACUGGGCACCAACUGACGCUGAGGCUCGAAAGCAUGGGUAGCAAACAGGAUUAGAUACCCUGGUAGUCCAUGCCGUAAACGAUGAUUACUAGGUGUUGGAGGAUUGACCCCUUCAGUGCCGCAGUUAACACAAUAAGUAAUCCACCUGGGGAGUACGACCGCAAGGUUGCAACUCAAAGGAAUUGACGG
rnacentral:rRNA from 1 species